rnacentral:rRNA from 1 species
CUACGUGCCAGCAGCCGCGGUAAUACGGAGGGUGCGAGCGUUAAUCGGAAUAACUGGGCGUAAAGGGCACGCAGGCGGUGACUUAAGUGAGGUGUGAAAGCCCCGGGCUUAACCUGGGAAUUGCAUUUCAUACUGGGUCGCUAGAGUACUUUAGGGAGGGGUAGAAUUCCACGUGUAGCGGUGAAAUGCGUAGAGAUGUGGAGGAAUACCGAUGGCGAAGGCAGCCUCCUGGGAUAACACUGACGCUCAUGCACGAAAGCGUGGGGAGCAAACAGGAUUAGAUACCCUGGUAGUCCACGCCCUAAACGAUGUCUACUAGUUGUCGGGGAUUAAUUUCCUUGGUAACGCAGCUAACGCGUGAAGUAGACCGCCUGGGGAGUACGGUCGCAAGAUUAAAACUCAAAGGAAUUGACGGGGACCCGCACAAGCGGUGGAUGAUGUGGAUUAAUUCGAUGCAACGCGAAGAACCUUACCUGGUCUUGACAU